AUGCAAGUCGAACGGCAGCACAGGAGAGCUUGCUCUCUGGGUGGCGAGUGGCGUACGGGUGAGGAAUAUAUCGGAAUCUACCCUUUCGUGGGGGAUAACGUAGGGAAACUUACGCUAAUACCGCAUACGAACUGAGGUUGAAAGCGGCGGACCGCAAGGCGUCGCGCGGAUGGAUGAGCCGAUAUCCGAUUAGCUAGUUGGCGGGGUAAAGGCCCACCAAGGCGACGAUCGGUAGCUGGUCUGAGAGGAUGAUCAGCCACACUGGAACUGAGACACGGUCCAGACUCCUACGGGAGGCAGCAGUGGGGAAUAUUGGACAAUGGGCGCAAGCCUGAUCCAGCCAUGCCGCGUGUGUGAAGAAGGCCUUCGGGCUGUAAAGCACUUUUGUUGGGAAAGAAAAGCGGUCGGUUAAUACCCGGUCGUUCUGACGGUACCCAAAGAAUAAGCACCGGCUAACUCUGUGCCAGCAGCCGCGGUAAUACAGAGGGUGCAAGCGUUAAUCGGAAUUACUGGGCGUAAAGCGCACGCAGGCGGUUGGUUAAGUCAGAUGUGAAAGCCCCGGGCUCAACCUGGGAAUUGCAUUUGAAACUGGCCAACUAGAGUAUGUGAGAGGGGGGUAGAAUUCCAAGUGUAGCGGUGAAAUGCGUAGGGAUUUGGAGGAAUACCAGUGGCGAAGGCGGCCCCCUGGCACAAUACUGACGCUCAGGUGCGAAAGCGCGGGGAGCAAACAGGAUUAGAUACCCUGGUAGUCCACGCCGUAAACGAUGUCUACUAGCUGUUCGUGGUCUUGUACUGUGAGUAGCGCAGCUAACGCACUAAGUAGACCGCCUGGGGAGUACGGUCGCAAGAUUAAAACUCAAAUGAAUUGACGGGGGCCCGCACAAGCGGUGGAGCAUGUGGUUUAAUUCGACGCAACGCGAAGAACCUUACUA
rnacentral:rRNA from 1 species